rnacentral:rRNA from 1 species
GUGAGGAAUAUUGCGCAAUGGAGGCAACUCUGACGCAGCCAUGCCGCGUGCAGGAAGAAGGCGCUACGCGUUGUAAACUGCUUUUAACCGGGAAGAAACCCCAGGACGUGUCCUGGGUUGACGGUACCGGAGGAAUAAGCACCGGCUAACUUCGUGCCAGCAGCCGCGGUAAUACGAAGGGUGCAAGCGUUAUCCGGAUUCAUUGGGUUUAAAGGGGGCGUAGGCGGAGCGUUAAGUCAGUGGUGAAAUCCUGCAGCUUAACUGUAGACUUGCCAUUGAUACUGGCGCGCUUGAGUGCGCUUGAAGUGGGCGGAAUGUGCCGUGUAGCGGUGAAAUGCUUAGAUAUGGCACAGAACACCAAUUGCGAAGGCAGCUCACUAAGGCGAUACUGACGCUGAGGCGCGAAAGCGUGGGGAUCGAACAGGAUUAGAAACCCUUGUAGUCC